rnacentral:rRNA from 1 species
UACAGAGGUCCCAAGCGUUGUUCGGAUUCACUGGGCGUAAAGGGUGCGUAGGCGGCGCGGAAAGUUGGGUGUGAAAUCCCUCGGCUCAACCGAGGAACUGCGCCCAAUACUACCGUGCUUGAGGGAGAUAGAGGUGAGCGGAACUUAGGGUGGAGCGGUGAAAUGCGUUGAUAUCCUAAGGAACACCGGUGGCGAAAGCGGCUCACUGGAUCUCUUCUGACGCUGAGGCACGAAAGCUAGGGUAGCGAACGGG